UACGUAGGGUGCGAGCGUUGUCCGGAAUUACCGGGCGUAAAGAGCUCGUAGGUGGUUUGUCGCGUUGUUCGUGAAAACUCACAGCUUAACUGUGGGCGUGCGGGCGAUACGGGCAGACUGGAGUACUGCAGGGGAGACUGGAAUUCCUGGUGUAGCGGUGGAAUGCGCAGAUAUCAGGAGGAACACCGGUGGCGAAGGCGGGUCUCUGGGCAGUAACUGACGCUGAGGAGCGAAAGCGUGGGGAGCGAACAGG
rnacentral:rRNA from 1 species